CCGAUCAUGGCUCAGGAUGAACGCUAGCUACAGGCUUAACACAUGCAAGUCGAGGGGAAACGACAUCGAAAGCUUGCUUUUGAUGGGCGUCGACCGGCACACGGGUGAGUAACGCGUAUCCAACCUGCCCAUCACUUGGGAAUAACCUUGCGAAAGUAAGACUAAUACCCAAUGACAUCCCACGAAGACAUCUGAAUGGGAUUAAAGAUUUAUCGGUGAUGGAUGGGGAUGCGU
rnacentral:rRNA from 1 species